CCUACGGGAGGCAGCAGUAAGGAAUCUUCCACAACGGACGAAAGUCUGAUGGAGCAACGCCGCGUGCAGGAUGAAGGCUUUCGGGUCGUAAACUGCUUUUAUAUGGGAAGAUUAUGACGGUACCAUAUGAAUAAGGACCGGCUAACUACGUGCCAGCAGCCGCGGUAAUACGUAGGGUCCAAGCGAUAUCCGGAAUUACUGGGCGUAAAGCGUGUGUAGGUGGAUUAAUAAGUGUGAUGCGAAAUCCGGCGGCCCAACCGUUUGGACUGUGUCGCAUACUGUUAGUCUAGAGGACGGCAGAGGUAAGUGGAAUUACGGGUGUAGCAGUGAAAUGCGUAGAUAUCCGUAGGAACACCAAUGGCGAAGGCAGCUUACUGGGCCACACCUGACACUGAGACACGAAAGCGUGGGGAGCGAACAGGAUUAGAUACCCUGGUAGUCCACGCCGUAAACGAUGCAUACUAUUAGUAUGGGGUAUCGACCCCCUGUGCUGAGAAGCUAACGCGAUAAGUAUGCCGCCUGGGGGNGACGAGNGCGAGACGUAAACGUAACGAAGUAAGUUAGAGUCGUUGAGAGNGCCGACGGACGACGACGAGGGAGGAGG
rnacentral:rRNA from 1 species